rnacentral:tRNA from 1 species
GGGUCCAUAGCUCAGUGGUAGGGCAUUUGACUGCAGAUCAAGUUGUCACCGGUUCGAAUCCGCUUGGGCCCU